GCAUACAAUGUACAUUUAAAGGAUGAGAACCAGAGAAUAAAACAAGAACGUGAUGAACUACAGAAGGAGAAGGACAUAAUUCAACAAGAACGUGAUGAACUACAGAAGGAGAAGGACAGAAUUGAACAAGAGAUACAGGAGGAGAAGGACAGAAUUCAACAAGUGCUUAAUAAACAGAAGGAGAAGAGCAAACAAUAAGUGGUCACUCAUUUAGAAACAGACAAGUGAAUGCAACUCUGGGUGAAGAUUCAGCUAAUGCAUGUCUCAUUGAGUCUGAAGAUGGGAAAGAAGUGAUACAUGACGAAACAGAACAGUAAAAAGGGAAAGAUGUAGGCAAAAUUACAAAUUUGAUGAGAAUGAUCUUUAUAAUGAUGAGACAGAUGGAUGCUCCCCAAAGUGUAUUUUUAACUAUUACACUAUAACUGUACUGAGUGGGAUUUAGCAGUGAUCAGACAACUGGUCAGGCUUUUAAUGAGAAAAUUUGUCAGUUUAUUAGUUUAGAUCCUGCUUGGUGUAAAAUCUACACUGAACCUCUGAUCAUCUGUGAUAAUUUCAGAAUUAGUAUUCUGGAAAUUUAGUGUAUAUAA